GACGAACGCUGGCGGCGUGCCUAAUACAUGCAAGUCGAGCGGACUUUCAAGAAGCUUUCUUUUUGAAAGUUAGCGGCGGACGUGUGUUUAACACGUGUUCAACCUUCCUGCAAUACGGGUAUAACUCCGGGAAACCGGUGCUAAUACCGUAUAAUAUCUUCCUUCUCAUUAUUGAAGGUUGAAAUUCGGCUCAAGCUUCCGCUUGCACAUGUUCCCGCGGCGCAUUUGCUAGUUGGUGAGGUAACGGCUCACCAAGGCGACGAUGCGUAGCCGGCCUGAGAGGGUGAUCGGCAAAAAUGGGAGUGGGAAAAGGCACAGAGGCCUAAGGGAGGCAGCAGUAGGGAAACGUCCGAAAUGGACGAAAGUCAGAAGGAAGAACGCCGAGUGAGAGAAGAAGGUCUUCGGAUCGUAAAGCUCUGGUGUCAGGGAAGAAAAAGAAGCGUUCGAAAAGGGAGGUACAGUGACGGUACCUGACAAGAAAGCAACGGCUAACUACGUG
rnacentral:rRNA from 1 species